GCCAAAGAGAUCAUAUCUCACAAAAUUGACAAACUCUUUUAUCUCUAUUAUUUUAGGGUUCGGCUACGUUUUCCUAUAUGGAUUACUCACAUCAUUACAUCAUCACAUCAUUAUAAUAUGAUGAUGCGAACUUAAUCUAGAAACCUAAGAACAGCAUUAUCGCUGCCCCUUAACCCACCUCUUAGCCCAAAAAAACAUUUAAAAACAAUAAAGAGAAGAGAGAAGUCCAAGAGGCGAGUCUUGGGUAAGGGCUGGAAGGCCCGCCCCUUAAGGACACGUGUCAAGGCCAGAGAGGAACAAAAAAUCGGAGAGGAGAGAGGCCAGGUUUCAUUUCUGGGUUUGGUUCUGUUCUUUCUCUUUCUCUCUCUCUCGAAACCUCUCCGUCUACGAAACGGCGAUUCCUCUCCAUCAAGCAAUCCUCUCUCUCUCUCUCUCUCUCUCUCUCUCUCUCUCUCAGCAUCGCAGAGGCGACGAACUUCGUGAGAUUGAGAGCGACAUCGAAAGGGACGCAGGGAGAGAGAUUAGACUGGGCGAGUUGGUGUCCAUCAUCUGGAUGAUUCUCAACAGAACAAGAGCUUCACAUUCAAAUGUCACAGAGAUGGGAAUGAGAUCUAUUCUAUCAAUGCUCUGAACUUCCACCCGGCCUCCUAAUGUCAGGCCCAGCUAAGAGAAGUAGAGGGUUGCGAAUUACACCCUAAACCCGUUUAGUGUGUUUCUUCUUCCUUCUGAGCCGCGCAAUAUCAGCUUUCAUCUUCCUCUCAAAGUAAGUAAGCAUCUCCGACCUUCCUCGUACACCCUAACUUCGCAUCUCCAUUGCAGCCAACACCAUUCGUAUCAUACUGUUUAGAGAGAUGGCUGAUUCAAAGGUGGUGGUUCCAGAGUCUGUGCUAAAGAAGAUCAAGAGGGAAGAGGAAUGGGCAUUGGCCAUGAAACAGGAAGCUGAAGCUGCUAAGAAGAAGAGCGUUGAGACCCGCAAGCUUAUCUUCAAGAGAGCUGAGCAGUAUGCCAAAGAAUACGCCCAGAAGUAUCAACGCCAUUGACCCCAAAACCAAGAAAAUUCUGCAGCUCCUGCGUUUGAGUCUGAAGUUUACCUCGAUGAUCAUCUUUUAAAAGAGAGCAGAAAGUUAACUUUUUGUAUCCAUUUUGUGUAGAUCUUCAAUGGUGUGUUCCUUAAGGUGAACAAGGCAACAAUUAACAUGUUGCGUCGUGUUGAGCCUUACGUGACUUAUGGAUACCCUAACCUGAAGAGUGUUAGGGAGCUGAUAUACAAGAGGGGUUAUGGGAAGCUGAACCACCAGAGGAUAGCACUUACAGACAACUCUAUAGUAGCUGAAGGUCUAGGAAAGCACGAGAUCAUCUGCGUGGAGGAUCUGAUCCACGAGAUCAUGACCGUUGGACCUCACUUCAAAGAAGCCAACAACUUCCUUUGGCCCUUCCAGUUGAAGGCACCACUCGGUGGACUUGAGAAGAAGAGGAACCACUAUGUUGAAGGUGGUGAUGCUGGAAACAGGGAGAAUUUCAUCAACGAGCUUGUCAGGAGAAUGAAUUGAUUAUGAUGAUAGCUUCCUUCUUUAUCUUUCCCAAUUUCAUAAAGUUUUGGUUGAAUCUCAGUUUUCUUUUUUUUUUUCUUACCUCAUAUUAGAGACCAAUAUAAUCUUUUUCGGAGACUAGGCUUUGCUUAGAGACCAAUAUGAUCAAGUGUGAAACAUGCAGUAGGUAUCUCAGCAACCUCAAGAGCAUAGUUCUUUGAUCAUUGAAUGUAUAUAGAAAGAAUAACGAUUCUGUCUC